rnacentral:lncRNA from 1 species
GGGCAAGUGGGAGGCAGACGGUUAACGACAAUACCAUUUAUAACAAGGAGCCUUGAAGGAGAUCUCUCUCGGACUAGCUUGAGGUUAGUUGAUAAGUUUUAUUUCAUGGUUUAGACUUUACGCUUACACUGCCUUAAUCAUCUAGAGGCUAUGGGGACUGAAUUCUAUGAAUUAGUAGUUUAAGCACCAUAAUAAAGCAUUGUGGCAGUAACGUGACGGGCAAUGACCCAAUUGUGUUUGUUAAUUCUUUUUGGUGUCAUUAGCAUAGGAUUGAAUUGGUGAAGUUUUCCAUGAUAUCAAUAUUUAAUUGGGUUACUUAGUAAUAUUAUAUAAUAAUAUAGUAAUCGGUAAGAUUAGAUUUGAAUUGGAAUGUUUAGAAAGGUUAUAUAAAUAUAAUGUAUUUUGUAGUUGGUAGUCUGUUAGGAUUAGUGGAAAAUUUAUUAGGAGUUAGUAUAAAUUUCACUACUAGAAUUGACGCAACAUCGCCGAAGUGAUGAUUUGACUACAGUAAUUUACUAAGGCAGCAACGACAAUUGAGAAUUAGUGAUAGAAUUGAUUUAUGGCUAAUGGGUUUCAACGUUAUUAAUGCUUUUGUAGUUCACUAUUGUUCGUGUAUUAUCUUAGAUUCCAAAAUUUAUAGAAUUGAGGUUUAGGUAUAGAGUUCUUAGAGAAAAAAUUUAUUAAAAUUGAAGAUCGAAUGAUGACUCAUUUUAGUUGAAAUCUAACAUACUAGUUGGUACUUUUAUGUAGAUUAUAUAUUUGCACAGAUUUUGAUCACUCAGAGGCUUUACGGAAGGGCAAGACCCUCGCAAAGUAGCUUGGUUUUGAGUUCUUCGAUUGAGGUAGGUUACGAUUUAAUUGAAGUUUAGACUCAACUUAAUUGUGUGUAUGCUCCUAAAUUUGAUGCUUGUUGACUGAUAUUCAGACAUGCUUGAAGAUGAUAUUUGAAUUGUUGAGACGUGUAUAAAUAAUUAUUGAAAAUUUACUUGAUGGAAUUGUCUUAUGACUUUAAAUGUACUUGUAAACUUAGUACAUCAUAUUGUACCUUGAGAUGUAGUGCGAAUUUGAUAAAAUAUACCCAAUAUGGUUAUGGAGGAUCGGAUACCACGCCGGUACUAAUACAAUAUUGAUAUUACUUGUUUAUGGAGGAUCGGGUACCACGCCGAUACGAAUACAAUAUUGAUAUUACUUGUUAAUAAAGGAUCAGGUACCACACCGGUACGAAUAUGAUAUUGAUAUUACUUAUUUAUGGAGGAUCAAAUACCACGCGGUACGAAUAUGAUAUUGAUAUUACUUGUUAGGGAGGAUCGAGUACCACGACGGUAUGAAUAUGAUAUGGAUAUUACUUAUUUAUGGAGGAUCGGGUACCACAUCGGUGCGGUACAUGAACAUAGAUUAUUCCCUACAAGUCAUGACUAGUUGGACAAAAAUAAGUCCCAUAGCAUGUGCAUACAUAUUUAUGUUGAAUUUGAGAGGUUGUAUGGGUUAUUAAGCAGAUAACGAGCUAAUGAUGUUCUAAUUACGGGGUUUAGAAGGAUGCAGUUGUUAUUUGUAGACACGUAAUUUUGUCCCUCCCCAAAAGUAUUUUUACCAUUUUUAUCCUCGCCUUACCACGUACCCUCACCCAUAUUAUUAUAUCCCACAAAAAUACAAAAAAUAACAAAUCCACUAACAAACCUAAUCCCCAAUUAUUCUUUUGGUAACAAAAUUAACCACUUCUCCUAUCAAUUUUUGACAACACGUUACCACCCCAUGCCCCCUCACCCUACCCCCACCUCAUCACCUCUACCCCACAUACCCACGUGGCCCCCUUUCCCUUCAUAUUUUAAUUCCACUCUAACAGAAUAAAGCACAAGAUUCUUCCAUUUGUGGAUAUAUACACGCGGGCCCCACAAGAAUAGAAGGAGACACAAUUUUUCAUUAUUAUAGAUAUAUACACACAUAUAAAAUAGGGAGGAGACCUAUCACUCUGAGGAGCUUCUUCUAUUUUAAUAUACACCAUACCAUUAACAAAAAAUAGAGAAUACAUGAAAAACCCACAACCAUCUAUACAGGUAAAAGAUCAGCAUCUUAAGGGGGGGAAAGGGAGAGAACACCACUUUCUUCUUCUUUAUCUUAUCAUUGACUACACCCAAUACACCAAGAACACACACUCACCUCACCAAGAACGCACACACACAUAAUUUCCAUCGAGAAAGAGAGUGAAAUCGAGUGAGAGGGAGAGAUAGCGAGACGAGGGAGAUAAAGAUUGAGAAAUCGAGAGCGGGGAGGGUCGUGUCUGAUUACUACUCUGGCAACCGCAUCAUUGAAAAAUGUCGAGGCAUGCUAAAGGUCGCCGAAACUGGUUGUUUUGGUCUAUUCCAGGUAUUACAGGUUUAAAAUCCACCAAAGUGUUGAAAUUCCCCAAAAUAUCGUCUGUUUUCCGCUGUUUUUUAGCUGAAUUUGGAUGGAAACAGCGAGCUUCACCAGAAUCUGUUUUGGUCUGUCAUUUUUUGCCUCCUUCUAAGCUCACCAGAGUUCAAAUUGUGCGGGCGUCAGUUUUCUACUGGAGUUUUAGGGGGUUUCGUGUUGAUAUUUUUCUUCUUGGUUUGAAAUCUAUUCGGAUGGUGAUUUUGGGAUACUGAUUUGGUCUGUUCGUCGUUGGGGUUCUCCGUUUGAGGAUUUCGAUUUUCAAACUUCUUUAUUAUCAACGAAAACAUUCUACGAAGGUCAAUUUCUUUAACCUGUUCUCUUCAUUUUAUCUUGAUUUUGUUGAAUUGUUUGUGAGUAUGUGUGGGUUGAUCAUGAUUGUUGGAUUUUGUUGAUCUUAUGAUUAUGUGCUUGACGAUGCUAUUUUGGCCAUAUCUGAAACAAAUUUGAAUAAUUUUGAUGGCGUGAUUGAUAAAAAGGAAGUUGGGGGGUGGGAAUUAAAAAUUAACGAAAAGGGUAGAUUCGGAUUAAUUUUGAUUUAUUGUCGAUAUGAAACGUAAUAUAAUUAUGAUGUGUUAAAAUGGAUAGGCAAAUGUAGGUUUGGAUAGGCAAAAAAUUUAAGAUUGGUGACUUGUUGAAUGCGUGAAUACUUGUUGAAUGAUUCUUUGUAUUUCAAAUGCAUAGAAUUGAGAAAAUGUAUUCAUUUUAUCAGGGAAUGCCCCGAAGUCUGAUAUAUUUAUUCACCGGGGAAUGCCCCGAGGUAUCUUGUAUUCGGAGGACGUUCGUGACGAAGGCUCGAGGCGUUGGGUAGAGCAUAGUCUAGGAUUAGCUUAAAAUAGGAUUUAUAUUUUCGCAUUUUUCUAUUUUCGAGUUGUAAUAAUUGGAC